UAGUCUCUUAAGAGAUAUUUAUGGACUUAUUUUCACACUUUUGCAUUUUCCUUUUCUUCUAGUUGAGAAGUAGCAAAUACGAAGUGACAACUACAUUACUGUACAUGGAGUUAUUUACAGACCGAGAUGAUUGGUUUCCUAAUGAUCAUUUCAUAAGCUCAAUGGGUUCCUGGCCAAGCCCCAGGACUAGGAGCUGAGAAAGAGGCUGAGAAUGAAGCGAAAUGCCAGACUUGCUGAAACUCCUGUCUGAAAUCUCCAGGGAAAUUUUUAAAGCUUCAGAGCCGUGCA
ensembl:lncRNA